rnacentral:rRNA from 1 species
AGCGAACGUUAGCGGCGGGCCUAACACAUGCAAGUCGAGCGAGAAAGGGGGUUCGCCCCCCGAGUACAGCGGCGGACGGGUGAGUAACACGUAGGUAAUUUUCCCUUGAGCGGGGGACAACGUUCCGAAAGGGACGCUAAUACCGCAUAAGUUCUUGGGUGCUUCGGCACUGGAGAGGAAAGCUAGGCCGCAAGGUCUGGCACUCGAGGAGAAGCCUGCGUCGCAUCAGCUAGUUGGUGGGGUAAUGGCCUACCAAGGCAAAGACGCGUAGCUGGUCUGAGAGGAUGAUCAGCCACACUGGGACUGAGACACGGCCCAGACUCCUACGGGAGGCAGCAGUGGGGAUAUUGGGCAAUGGGCGAAAGCCUGAUCCAGCAAUGCCGCGUGAGUGAU